rnacentral:rRNA from 1 species
UACGUAGGGUGCAAGCGUUAAUCGGAAUUACUGGGCGUAAAGCGUGCGCAGGCGGUUGUGCAAGACAGAUGUGAAAUCCCCGGGCUCAACCUGGGAACUGCAUUUGUGACUGCACGGCUGGAGUGCGGCAGAGGGGGAUGGAAUUCCGCGUGUAGCAGUGAAAUGCGUAGAUAUGCGGAGGAACACCGAUGGCGAAGGCAGCCCCCUGGGCUGAGAUUGACGCUCAGGCACGAAAGCGUGGGGAGCAAACAGG